AGAGUUUGAUCAUGGCUCAGGAUGAACGCUGGCGGCGUGCCUAACACAUGCAAGUCGAACGAAGCUUGAGGAAUGAUUUCUUCGGAAUGAAUUCUGAUAUGACUUAGUGGCGGACGGGUGAGUAACACGUGAGCAACCUGCCUUUCAGAGGGGGAUAACGGCUGGAAACGGUCGCUAAUACCGCAUGAUAUGUUUGGAUGGCAUCAUUUGAACAUCAAAGAUUUAUCGCUGAAAGAUGGGCUCGCGUCUGAUUAGAUAGUUGGUGAGGUAACGGCUCACCAAGUCGACGAUCAGUAGCCGGACUGAGAGGUUGAACGGCCACAUUGGGACUGAGAUACGGCCCAGACUCCUACGGGAGGCAGCAGUGGGGAAUAUUGCACAAUGGGGGAAACCCUGAUGCAGCAACGCCGCGUGAAGGAAGACGGUUUUCGGAUUGUAAACUUCUUUUCUUUGUGAAGAAACAAAUGACGGUAGCAAAGGAAUAAGCAUCGGCUAACUACGUGCCAGCAGCCGCGGUAAUACGUAGGAUGCAAGCGUUAUCCGGAUUUACUGGGUGUAAAGGGAGCGCAGGCGGGACUUCAAGUUGGAUGUGAAAGGUCAAGGCUUAACCUUGGCACUGCAUCCAAAACUGUAGUUCUUGAGUGGAGUAGAGGUAAGCGGAAUUCCGAGUGUAGCGGUGAAAUGCGUAGAUAUUCGGAGGAACACCAGUGGCGAAGGCGGCUUACUGGGCUCUAACUGACGCUGAGGCUCGAAAGUGUGGGGAGCAAACAGGAUUAGAUACCCUGGUAGUCCACACUGUAAACGAUGAUAGCUAGGUGUGGGGGGUCUGACCCCUUCCGUGCCGGAGUU
rnacentral:rRNA from 1 species